CUGGGCAGCCUGCUCUAAGGAACCUGCUUUGUCAGGGGGGUUGGACCCGAUGACCUCUUGAGGCCCCUUCCAACCCCUACAAUUCUGUGAUCCACCCUGUAGGAACAGCAACACGACCCACGGCCAAGACACAGCACUUGUAGGAGUUGGUGACAGCACAUGGCAAGAGGACAUGCAGCUGAGCACCCUCUGUGCUGUUGCACAAAUAACCAUGGGGACGGAAAACAAGCAUUUGGGGAAUACAAACCCGGCCUGCCUCAUCUCAGCACAGCUGCCCCAACAGCUCCCAGGUGUUUCCAGCUCUUAAGCUGUGUGUUAGCACCUGGUCUCGUGCUAGGCCAGUGGUAUUUAGCUGGAUGUUUGCUCUUACUGUGGGCUGGAGUGGGGAGUGGUGGUGUUAGGAGGUUUAUAGCUCAACACAAGCUGAGUGGGAUUUUGCAGAACAAAGAAAAGGUUUAAGGAAAGAGUGAUGAAGGUGAAUUGUGUAACUCAGCUGGCAUCCUGGAUGACCCGUGUGCGUCGCUCUGCAACAAAAGCCUAAGUGAUGCUUUCCCCAGCCAGAUGGCAACGAGGGUGUGUGAGCUGCGGCUCCUGAACUCGGGCUGAACCUCGCGGCGCAGAAUGAUGCUAUUAUAGUCCCUGCGUAGGCUGCCGGCACAGCUGCCUCCUAGCCCGGGAGGCCCGGGCGCGUGGAAAGCAGCGGCCGGUCGGGAGGAGAUUGCUCAUUAUUUCUGCUGAUACUGGGGAAGAUCAUUAGCUUGACCACAGCACUUCUCAGUCUGAAAAGUCGGCUGAUGUGGUCACUUAACCAGCACAGGCUUUUCUGUGUGAUUUUUUUUUUUUUUUUUUUUUUUUUUUUUUCUUCAGCAUUUUUUACCUCUUAUAUGCUGCAUUUGCCUGCUCUUUAAUUAUGGGGGCUGGGGAGAUGAAAUUGUGAAGAAAUAAUCUUUAUUCUGUUCUCCUCCUCUUUUUUUCCCCUCUUUUUCUAUUUUUUUUUUUUUUUUCUGGCUUAUGAGGCCUUAUUAAAUCUUUCCAGUUUUUAGGGGAGGGGACUGUUCUUAAUGAUGCAAAAGAAUUUUAAUGCAGCUCUCGUUAAUGGUAAAGCUCUUAAUUACUGGUGAAAAAAUCAGCCCCGUAUGAGCACUUAGUAUUUGGUACCUUUAAAACUUUCCACACAAGAGAGCUCCUCUUCACCUCUGAGUUUCCACUCUGUUUCCAGCGAUGUGCGUAUAACUCUCCAAAAAUAUUGCUGUGAUCUCAUCCUAUAAAAUAACCCUGGUCAGUGUUGGGCCAAAUCCUCAGGCUGUAUCAGCUACAGGGGCAGGAGGCUAUGGCCAGCAAACACGCUCUCUGUUGCAGAAGCCAUAGCAAAAGGCAAGCCCUAGUGGAAACUUUGUCCUCCCAGGGGUAGAGGAUGAUGAAAUGUGGUAGUGUGGGUAGACCUGGUGGCUCUGCAGGGAGGUGUGAGUCCAGGCAGCUUUCAUGGGGGCAAGACUUCUGAGAUAUUUAGGCAUUCUCACCCCCAGCAAUAAGAGGUCCUAUUUCCCCUGGGCAGACCUUGGGAAGUUUCUGCACAUGCUGGAUCCUUGCAUCCUCUCUUUUGUUUUUUUAAUGCCCUGAGUCAUAUUUGUUGGGCUCAGGACUGGCUUCUUCCUUCAGUUAGCUGCAGUAUCACUAAGUGAUUGCAAUCUCUAGAGCAAGUAACUACCAAAGUCUGCAAAUAAUGAGCUAUUUAAUUAGUUAGGAUUAGAUGUCAGUAAUGACAUAGGCUCUUGGCUGCUUUUCUGCUUCCUCUGAGCAUCUUCUCUUUGUGUCCUCCACAGAGACUUUCUGAAAGAGCAUGGUAGGUGAGAAUUUGUCUCCUGAAGGUGCACAUGUAUGACUGUGCAGUGAGUCCUUAGCCCUGGGUACUCUCGGAAGAGAUGAAAGUAGGACCAUCCGAUCACCUCUUGUGUCCUGCUGUUUUAGGGAAGUAGGGUUUGUACUACUUUGUAGAAUCACAGAAUAUCCAGAGUUGGAAGGAACCAACAAGGAUCACUGACUCCAACUCCUGGCUCCACACACAGAAACACCCAGAAAUCAAGCCACGUGUCUGAGAGCAUUGUCCAAACAUUUCUUGAGCUCUGACAGGCUCAGUGCCGUGACCACUGCCCUGGGGAGCCUGUCCCAGU